GCCUUCAUGGCGUAUUGGUCAGCACGCUGGGCGAUUAUUCCAGAGGUCCGUGGUUCGAACCCCGGCGAAGGCG
rnacentral:tRNA from 1 species